rnacentral:rRNA from 1 species
GCCAGCAGAUAUAUAACCCUGCGGCUCUCAACUGGUUACCCACUGAAGCUAAGCAGGGUUGAGUCUGGAAAGUACCUGGAUUGGAGACCUCCUGGGAAGCUAUGGUUGCUGCUGGAA